UUUGUACUCCCCCCGUCCCAAAAUUCUUGUCUUAAAUUUGUCUAAAUACGUAUGUAUCUAGUUACAUUUUAGUGUUAGAUACAUCUGUAUCUAAACAAAUGUAAGACAAGAAUUUUGGGACGGAGGGAAUACUAC
rnacentral:pre_miRNA from 1 species